GGGGUUGUAGCUCAGUGGUAGAGCACUUGCCUAGCAUGUAUAAAGCCCUGGGUUUGAUCCCCAGCACCACA
rnacentral:tRNA from 1 species